UUUUUUUAACUAUUGUAAUUUGCAUUUUUAGUUUGUAUAAUUAUUAUCAUUAUUUGUUUCGUGACUUUAAUCAAAAAUAUUGUGCAAUACAUAAAAUAUUGAUGUACAGAUAAAAAAAAAAAAAUGUGUACAGUUUUUUUUUUAGUAUAUAAGCCAAAAUAAUAAUUACAUUGUGUACGGUUUUUUAAUAAUGAUUUAAACUUUUUAUUAUUAUUAUUAUUAUUAUUAUUUUUUUUUUUUACGGAGUUUACUUACUACCGUCGUCGUCGCCGUCUCAAUAAUAUUAUUGUUGUCGUUAUGAAUAAAAAGAUAGUGAAAAAAAAAUUAUGUGUCGGUGCUAUAGGAGGCGCAUAUCGACGACAAAUAAUAAAACGCGGAGGAGGAGGAGGAGGAGUAUAUUAUGUUGUUACGGUGGGCGGCCAUAUUAUCGUUUGUUUUAAACGAAAUUUUACGUGUACAUAAAAAUUUAUCUACCAAAAAAAAAAAAUUCCAAUUCAUUAACUAUAUUAACUUUAUAUACGCAAUGGAAAUUCUCGAUAUUUCAACGUCAUUCCCCCGUUUCGUCAUAUUCGUAUAAAUAUGUAAAGUACAAGUGGCGUAUAAUGUGAUAUAUUAUAUAAAUUUUUUUUUUUUUAUUAUUGUUUUUUUUUUUUUUCAUUCCUCCGCGUAUGCAUAAGUAUAAUAUAACAAUAAUAUUAUUAUGUAUUUAAGUAGGUAUGUAAAUUGUUUCGUAAUAUAAUCAUUAUUUAUUCGUUUAUGUACUUAUCGUAUAAUGCAUAUAUUACUUAUUAAUUGUUAUUAAUAAUUAACGUGUUGUACAAAUUAUCGUAAAAUUAAGACUGAAUAUUUUGUGAAUGAUUUAUAACAUGAACAUUGGAAAAAAAAAAAAAAAAAAAAAAAAAAAAACCAAAAUAAUAAAAAUAUUGGCUCAUUUAUGAUAUUAUAAUAUAGUAUACCUAAUUACUUAUUAUUAUUCAUUCGCCCGUAGGGGUACACCUAAUAUAAUACGAUGUAUAUGAUAAUAAUAUUAUAAUCUGUUUUUGUUGUCCGUCAUUGUCGUGUAAAAUAAUAAUAUUAUUAAUAAUAUUUCGAAAUGUGUUUUUAUCUUUCUCACUCUCUCUCUUUCUCUCUCUCUCUCUCUCUCUCGCAUUGUAAUAACGUAUAAAAAAAAAAAAAAAAAAACUAAAUAAACUACCUAGAGAAUAUUUUAUUAUCAUCAUUAUUAGUUUUUGAAACGGAACGUUCGCGAGAACGCCGUUAAUUAUUGUGCCAUUUAUAUAAAAAUUACUAAAAUUAAUUAAUUAAUUCAUUAGAUAUUAUAUUAUUCAUUAUUAUUUUGUUAAAGCAUUUUGAGUUAUGGUCUGAAUAAAUGUGCUC